rnacentral:rRNA from 1 species
GGUACCGUCAGGGCUAUGUAGUAUUUAUACAUAACCGGUUCUUCCCACUUGACAGAGCUUUACGACCCGAGAGCCUUCAUCACUCACGCGGCGUUGCUGCGUCAGGGUUUCCCCCAUUGCGCAAAAUUCCUCA